CGGGAGGCAGCAGUGGGGAAUAUUGCACAAUGGGCGCAAGCCUGAUGCAGCCAUGCCGCGUGUAUGAAGAAGGCCUUCGGGUUGUAAAGUACUUUCAGCGGGGAGGAAGGUGUUGUGGUUAAUAACCACAGCAAUUGACGUUACCCGCAGAAGAAGCACCGGCUAACUCCGUGCCAGCAGCCGCGGUAAUACGGAGGGUGCAAGCGUUAAUCGGAAUUACUGGGCGUAAAGCGCACGCAGGCGGUCUGUCAAGUC
rnacentral:rRNA from 16 species